CUCAUUCUAGGAGUCAUUCUUGCCCUAAAUGGUGGCUCGCACUUGUAAUCCCAGUUAUUUGGGAGGCUGAGGCAGGAGGAUCACUUGAGGCCAGGAGUUCCAGACUAGUAGUCAGUCUCUCUCCUCUCUCUUUCUCUAUAUGAAGCUUUUCUUGAAGCCGUGUAUAAAAGGUCAGAUCAGCUGCUCUUUUCCACUGAUAUUGGAGCCAGACAGAAGCCGAGAUUGUAUCAGUAGGCAUUUAAGUAACAGUCCUUUGUCAGAUUCAUGUUUUGCAAAUGUUUCUUCCAAGUCUAUGACUUGCCUCUUUAUUUUUCUUAAUGGUGUCUUUUGGUACCUUGCAUGUGAUUUCCACAGUGAAUGGCCCUGCUUUCGGAGCAAGUUAAUGAUAUAAUAUCCCCAUUUAUAUUCAGAACAGUCAACACUUUCUAGCUUUCAGAAUAAUAAAAGCACCUGCAUUUAAUAUACA
rnacentral:lncRNA from 13 species